rnacentral:rRNA from 1 species
UACGUUCCCGGGCCUUGUACACACCGCCCGUCACGUCACGAAAGUCGGUAACACCCGAAGCCGAUGGCCCAACCCGUAAGGGAGGGAGUCGUCGAAGGUGGGACUGGCGAUUGGGACG